GAGGAAACAAAACGCCUAAGUCUUCUUAUGGGGUAGAAAUGAAAAGAGCAGAUUUUAAUAAGGUGCUUAUUAGGUGACAAGCAUCAUUCUGAUGAAGCAGGGAUGUGUGAGGUGGGUGUGUAGGGAACUGCACCUGCAGAUGAGGAGACUGAGCUUAGUGACCUGCAUAAGCAACUUGCCUCGAGCCACCCAAGUCUGCUUUGAGGGUAGAAGACCAAGUUACUCAUGGCUGAUUCCAUAGAUCUCUUCCCGACAGUGAUUCCAGCACCCUGAGCAUAUUUGUGUUCUUUGACCUCCACACGUGGCCCUGUGCCCCCUCUGCAAUCCCUGGGGAGCAGAAAGGGCCCCGUCCCAAGGACCUGCCCCCCCCCAGCUUUUAUCUGAGUCAUCUUGGGCAAGUCCGAGCCUCCACAUUCUCAUUUCAGUGGUGAAAUCCGAGGCUGCAAGCAUCACAUGAAACAACGUACAUGAAAAUCGAAAUGUAGCUUGUAAAAGUUGACCAACAGUAGUCAUAAUCAUUAAGGAAAUGUGAGAAAUAUUCGAUAGCAAUGAAAGAAAACACUACUAGUUCUGAUACAGUCCAAAGCAGUGAGGGGAGAGUACUCGGCGAGAGUUGAAUGAGGGCAGAAAGCAGAGUAGGAUAAAAGUGUAUUCCUGGGACCUGGAGCUGGUGAUACGGAGAGCAGGCCAUGAGUAAGGCUUUGUGAUCAUCUCUGUGAGUUACCUCUGUAUACUCUUCCGCUGUCUACGGCCAUACCACCCUGAACACGCCCGAUCUCUGCAUACUCUUCGUGCACAGAGAGAGCUCUUCGGCGAUGUGUUUAUUUCGGGACCGCCGAUGUGUGGGGUACCAUCAAGGAGAACGUGUGAGCAGGAAAAUGAUUGCUUUGGGCAGGCGUGUCCAGGCCAGCGUUCUCUGUGACGGGGUAACUAGGAGUCUGCAGAGAAGCCUGGGCUGCUGGAGAAACCUGGCUGACUUGCAGGGCUCGCAGGGUGGGCUGGGAGGAUGGAGGGGUGUUGGAAGCAUCCCCACCUCCCUUCUGGCUCCCAUCCCCAAACGUUUUGUAAGAGAUGGUCCUCAGUAGCCCGUGCAUGCCGCUCCUUGAGGUCUGCCUGACUCCGAGCUCAGCAGCUGCAAAUGAAGGCCAUGUUCAUCUCUGGCUGGCCGCAACCUCUGCUGACAGAACCAAGGCGCUUGUGUGGGAAGGGAAUUUCACUGCAGGAGGCUUGGAAGGCAGGGUGCACCUGAUGCGAGGGGUCCUGCGUCUGUGGGGUGCGGGCUCUGGCCUGCCCCGCUACAAGGCCUCUCUGGGAUCUGUGAGGCUCGGGGAACAAGAACCAGAGUGGAGAGUGUGUCGGCUAGGACACGUCCAGCUGCAAACAGCACAACACCCCGCUCAAACGUGCGGCUUCCACAACUCAGACAUUCAUAAUCGCACAUAGUAAUCAAGCACGUUUGGCUCACAACAGGCUCCAGAGAAGUGUGAGCUGCUGUCGUUAUUAGUGAAAACAACUAUGAUCACCAUCACUGCAGCCAGAAAAUCAAGGCAGGGCUUCCCCAAGGCAGUGCCGCAGUCAGAGAGCCAGGUGCUUCUCUCCGGCGUACUCUGGCUUUUGCAACGUGGAUCAAUGCCUCCUCUCCUGACCUUGAAAAGGCCAUGUGGUUUCAGAGGUCACGUGCAGACAAAUGGCAUCCAGCAAAGGAAAAGGGGCCACUUCCGCUUUCUAGGAAGAGAAGGUCCGCGGGCUGACACUGACUCGCCUGCCUAUGCACUCAUUGCCAGGGGCUGAGAAAAGAGGAUCGGCCUGGGCUGGAGCAGCAGGGCCCCGCGGGGCGGGAAGAGGACCGGCACGCAGGCAGCCGGGUGCUUCAGCCUUCACGCCGGUCCUUCUGUGCAGGUGGGAUUCUUAAGAAAGACGCAGCAGGACAGAUGGGCUUGGCAUGAGGAGCUCUGUGCUUUGGAGCCAGCCUCCACCUCUGCCUCUCUAAGAGACAGACUCAGGAGCCCGGGGAGCAGAGCUGCCUGGGAAACGGGGCUCCCAGAUACAGGGCAGACUUUCAUCACAGCACCUGCGAGAGCCUGUCGGGCAGCUACGUAACAGGGCAGGCAGGGCAUGGAAGCCAGAGAAGAGGACUGAGCAGAGAGGCACUGUCCCUGGAGGACCGGGAUGGUCACCAUCUGCCGGCCGUGCUUGGGAAUAGCCUCCACCGCUGCACCACCUUCACUGCCUGCAACCCGGAACGAGGCUGUGUACUGGAGGGUGAAGAUGAGGUGAGCACAGUUAUCUGCAGACCUGGGAACACUGACAGGUGAGCCUGCACCAGAGAAAGUAGGUCACAGCAGGGCGUCAGCUUGGGGCCCACAUCGCCCAUGGCCCCCGAGGUCCGAGUUCCUAGGGCUGGGCGUAAUGAGCCAGGUCUCUCUGGUGCCUCCUGGCACCUACUCUCCUACUGCCUCGAAUGCCUCCUUUGUCAUCCGAUGUCUAUUUGGGGGUUUGGUUCCUCAGGGGAGGAGACUCGGGGCCUCAUGACCUCAUAGGCCCUCUUCCCCUGGGCGUGCUGCCUCCCUUGCCUAGGCUUUUUCUCAGGAACUCUGAGUUGUCCAGUUUGAUCCCCAUGUUGCCGGCUGAACAGUUCUUGCUCCCUGACCGUGGAGCUCACAGGUCGACGUUGCCAGGACUCCACAUCCGGUCUAUCCAGCCCUGCCCAGGGAGACCGGGCCCCGGGUCCAGGGGAGCUCACCAAGCCCUCAGCCGGGAAGGACAGUGGCCCCCAGAUGCCUGGGCUCUUCCAGCAUCCUAUGGCUCCAUCUGGCCACGUCAGCAGCCUGCAAACUAGAAACUAGAACUGAGGCCGAAGAAAUCAUCCAGAACUUUCCAACUCACAAAAAGUUUGAGCAAAGCAAGGGUUUGGGCACUGGGCUGGGUGUGAAAGAGACGUGUGAGGGCUGGGAGCGCGGACAGCCCAGACAAGGCAUCCACAGCAGGGCGAACACCACAGGCUGCCCCUGGCCCUAGUUUGCUGCUGGAAGUUCUCAUUCACUCGGGUUUCAUUUACACAGCCAAGAGGGGCCUCCAGGGACACAGCAGCUGCUGGUGCCCUGAAGAGGAUCCUGGGACAGAAAAGGGGCAAGAGGUAGAAACUGAUGAGACCGCACAAACCAUGGGCUUCAGCUCAUAAUAGUGUACCAGCGCUCUACCAUUAAUUGUGAGCAGGGCGCCACGUGGGUGUAAGGUACUGCUACCGGGAAGCUGGGAGCAGAGGCUGGAGGAAAGAUACAGAGGAGCUCCCUGGACUGUCUGCACAGUUUUUCUGUAAUUCCAAAACUGUUCUACAAAAUAAUGUCUGUUAAAAAUAAUAUUUUUAUAAAACCUUUCCUCAGCAACAUAAUUUAGACACUUGACUGGCAAUGACUUAGGACAUAGCUCACAGCCCUUCCUGCUUUAUUAUAAUGAAAUAUAAAUGAGGCAACUGGGAGAAGGUUGUUAGGAAAAUGUCAUUUGUUGGGUCAUCACAUGGGACAGUCACAGAGGCAAACCAUCACCAUUACACGUCCAAAUGUAACCGUAACUUCAGAGAAACUCGGGGGAGCCACAUACUACAACUCUAAUGCCGUGACCCUGAGCUUUAAAACUUAAAACAUAACUAAAUAAGAGGAGUACAAAGUGCCAAACAGGUGGCGCUUGACAGAGGGCUGGAAGAGAACAGUGCGUUCCUCAUAAUGAGGGAGCGUCUAAUAAGAGCCGUUUCAGACAUAAUCAGCUCGGGAGAGAAACUGCGGAACAGAAUGAGCAUCCUAAUUCAAUUUGUGUUAUUAUAUUGACGAUGCACUUACAUAGUGCUUUUCUCACCGAGGCUGUCAAACACAUUAGACUAAGUUCUGCACAACAGAAUCCAGAAUAUUGAAUAUGAGAGCUGCACUGUAGAAUUCUUCACCUUCAAAAGUCUUUUAAGAAAAUCCACAAAGCCACAUUUCUGAGUAGAUAUGAUUAGGAAUUGCAUCUGCCUUGGUAGAAACAUUUUACUUCUCUUUUAUUCCACCUGGUUCUUGAAUGAGAACUGCUGUACCACUUUCUCUGUCUUUGUGGCCAUGAUUGGAAGAGUUAAAUCCCAGCUUCAUGCUGGCUGCAGUUUGAAUGUUUGUGUUCCUCCAAAAUUCCUCCUACAACUCAGUCUCCAACACCACAGUGCUGAGAGUCAGGGCCUCUAGGAAGUGAUGGGAGGGGAUAGAUAGCUUCAAGAAAGGACUGCAGGGAGCGAAUUCCUCCCUUUGCCCACAGCCUUCCAAGUGGGAGCACAGCGACAUGGCACCAUCUUGGAGGCAGAGAACAACACUCACCAGCACCAACUCUGCCCUCCGUGGCCUUGGACUCCCAUCAUCCAGAUUGUGAGAAAUAAAUUUCUGUUGUUUACAAA